GAAGGACGUCGUGGUUGCUUUAAUCCCUACCGUGGCGAACUUGGCGAUCGUGGUGACCGUGGAUAUCGCAGUGAACGUAAGGAACGUCGUCGUCGCAACAACGAUGAUGAGGAUGACCUAAAUAACAACAAGGGCGAUGAAGACGGCGAAGAUGGCGAGAAGAAGCGCGAGUUCUACAUCCCUCCGGAACCAUCCACCGAUGAAGCUGAGAUUUUCGGCACCACCAUCUCUUCGGGAAUCAACUUUUCGAAAUAUGAUCAUAUUCCGGUGAAGGUAAGCGGAAUUGACCCACCAGCUGCCAUU